rnacentral:rRNA from 1 species
AGUGAACGCUGGCGGUAGGCCUAACACAUGCAAGUCGAACAGCAGCACAGGAGAGCUUGCUCUCUGGGUGGCGAGUGGCGGACGGGUGAGGAAUACAUCGGAAUCUACUCUGUCGUGGGGGAUAACGUAGGGAAACUUACGCUAAUACCGCAUACGACCUACGGGUGAAAGCAGGGGACCUUCGGGCCUUGCGCGAUUGAAUGAGCCGAUGUCGGAUUAGCUAGUUGGCGGGGUAAAGGCCAACCAAGGCGACGAUCCGUAGCUGGUCUGAGAGGAUGAUCAGCCACACUGGAACUGAGACACGGUCCAGACUCCUACGGGAGGCAGCAGUGGGGAAUAUUGGACAAUGGGCGCAAGCCUGACCCAGCCAUACCGCGUGGGUGAAGAAGGCCUUCGGGUUGUGAAGCCCUUUUGUUGGGAAAGAAAUCCAGCUGGCUAAUACCCGGUUGGGAUGACGGUACCCAAAGAAUAAGCACCGGCUAACUUCGUGCCAGCCGCCGCCGUAA